AAGCCGAUAUUAGUUUUUGAAAAGUUCCAAACAAUGUUCUUGGUCCAAGUUCCUGCUCCAAAACUUACUGUAGUACUCUGCAUAAGUAAAAUCCCUGUAUACAGCUUCACAUCCGUCCUCGGUGAGAGGCUUUGCGGGGCUGAUCAAGGCACGGUCAAACGGGCAGAGGAAAGAAGCAACUGACAUCCUUUCCUUAUUGGCAUUCACGACCGCUCGAUGCCACACGCUCUUGUACCUCCCAUUACUCAAUGCCUGCAACCAUUCAUACAUGUCACACUUGACCAUACUUAGCUACCUUUGAAAGUGGAAUAUUAGGUUUACCUGUAAUUGAUCACCGAUGUUAAUAACAAAAGCAUCCGGUUGAGGAUUAACGGCGAGCCAUUUGCCGUCUUUGAGUACUUGGAGUCCCGCAACUUGUAAGUCCUGAAGCAAAAUUGUAAGAGCAUUGGGGUCUGUAUGUCCAGGCAAUCCAUAAGUCAGCUCUGGUUCGGGACAUGGUGGGUAAUAGUUGACAGCCAUAUGCUGGCCUUGCUCGCCAAGAACAUUCUUAAUGUAGUCUUUUUCCAAGCCCAAGCUCUGGGAUAUUAAUUCUUGUAAUCUAUACCCAAGUUCUCGAACUUCUACACAGUAAUUACUUACAAUAUCCCUAGAAAAUUCAACAGGAAAAAGCCCAUUUUGAUAUUAAUUUCAGAACAAAAUAGGGUCCAUUGGAAACACAAGAAGAAAAUUCAAAAAGAGAAAAGAGAUCAAGUGGGCAGAUAAAAGUGAUCUGAUUGGGGAAGUGUUUAACCAAUAAUAAUGCAAUAAUAAAAACACCAUAAAAAGGCCCUUUCGAAAACGAUGUAUAACAACAAUAGAAGGGAAAAAGAAAUAUGCAGAUGCAGAUAAAAAGAUGAUGAUACCAAAUAUACGUUUGGAUGAUGGCAGUCUGAAAAGUUGGAUUCGAAUAAAAAAAAAGAUGCACUGCAUGGAGUAUAUAAAAAAAAAAGUUCAUUAGGACUUCUAUUCACCCCCACAAAAGCAAUUGUCAAAUGUCAACUUCAUCAUCAACAUCACCAUUAUCACCGCCGAGUGUUACCACUAAUUAAAAAUCUUCUUAUCAUAAGCCAUACGGACUCGGUCUCCACAGUUAGUUUCAUGGUUCUAUUCUCAGGUUUUGUUGCCAUCAUCACCGUAGAUCGUUUAUUGUUCCGCUAAUGGAGCUUGACAGUGAAGGGUUAAGAAAGACCUGAUUGAAUCACUGUCUGAGCUGAUAGAUCUAACCAGAUAAGGCAAUUGGCCCACUCUCCACCCAAUUAUAUACGAUGAGACCGAUAAUACUCGGUGUUCAUUCGAUUUUGGCUUAAGGUAACCAUAAAUUCGGGCAUCAACAUCCAGCUCGAGUUGUACACUCUUUAAUGCUAAAUUUGUUACUUUUCACUAUCAAAAGAACAACUUUUUCUCUUUAUUACGUGUAUGUGUUAUGGAAGAAGAUAUUUUUAUAAUAUUUUGUCAUGAAUCUAAAAAUAACAUUUGCUUUUGGACCAAAAGUAUAGAUACGUGAUCAAUUAAGGUAAAAUUACCAUUAAGAGUUCGUAUUUUACCCCUCUACUCAAAACACAAAUUUUUCUGUUAUUAUCUCAAUGGAGUUUUUAAAAAAUCAAAAACCUGAAGAUCAACUGGUAAAGUGAUUUUACUGUGAUUUUCCGACAGGUAUUUUGGUUGUUCUCCGGACAACAGCCUGAAACUCCAUGCAACCAAAUCUGAAAAUCUGACAUCUUUCAUCCGUAGUUUUUAAGUCUUUUGUCAACAAACAUGAAUUACGCGUGCUCUAACUCUUCCAAUUCCUGAAGAGGCACCUUAUUUAACCUUUUCCGAAUACGAAAACUUUUGAUGUCUAAUUAAAUAAAUAUUAUUUCGUUCAUCCAAAAUCGGAAUAUUCCCAUUUACUUUUUACUCGUAAUAUAGUACAUUUUUUUCUAUUUUCAGUGAUAGAUUUGAAUCUUUCUUCAUGUCGUCGCCUUUACCAACCAAUAGCAACGCAACUUUCUUUUUAGCGUUAAUAAGUUUUGCUUUAUUGGUGAUGGAAUAAGCAACAAAUACAUACCAAAACUCAUCCAUCCAUGGGAGGCCAAUCUAAAACAACCCUUAGAUCAUCAUGUUUAUGUAAUGUUUAUUGCAGUGGUCACAAUACACCACCACCUACAAACUCCUAGGGAAACCACGUGACCACAUGUCCAAGUGCACACCAUAUAUAGAUUACAAGAAGGGGACCAAUAGCGGGAAAAUUCAAGAGAGGGGACUUGACUUUUCCUUUGAUAUGUAGUAUACUUUAUGACUUGGUUAAUUAGCAAAAGGAAGAACACUAAAAUUCCACCUUUAAGUUCACCUUAAAAAGUACUAAAAUUUAUCUAGUAGGGACAAAGGAAAAAAAAAAUCAUUUGAGUAAUGAUCUAUCGAAUAAAAAAUUAAUUAUACAGUAUUAAAGUAUCAGAACAUUCAGAAGAUCUUAUUUAAAUUUAAAAAAUUUAAAAGAAUAACUUAUUAGUCAUAUGCUGAAAUCAAGUAAGAGAAAAUUAUACGACUCGUGCACUAUUUUGUUAACCUGUGAUUCCAUGCAUAAUGCCAAAGACAUUAUUUUAAAGAUGUUAGGUUGUUACUCCUUCGAAGAAAAAUGAAUAAUGCAUUUAGUACUCAACUUAUAGUUGAAUCAUAUCAUUAGAACAUGCAUGACAGAUACAAUGGAAAUGACAAAUGGGCCUAACUAGAGCAUCGAUUUUCAAUACUUUAUAGCCAUUGUUCAAAGAGAAAAAAGGUGAGGCAAAACCAUUAUAUGCGAGGAAGAAGAAGAUGAAGGACUUACUUGAAAGGAGGAGGAUUUGAAGGCCACUCAGGGACAUAUUUGUGAAGAGGGUAGCAGUGUAAUCUUAGAUAAUCUCUCCAGUUAUGAACCUUCUCUUUAUUCACAUUAAAACUAGUGGAAAGUCUCAUUGUUUUAGAAGGGUCAUCGGAGUAAAGCUUCAGUUUCUCCU
rnacentral:lncRNA from 1 species